rnacentral:rRNA from 1 species
UACGUGCCAGCAGCCGCGGUAAUACGUAUGUCGCAAGCGUUAUCCGGAUUUAUUGGGCGUAAAGCGCGUCUAGGUGGUUAUGUAAGUCUGAUGUGAAAAUGCAGGGCUCAACUCUGUAUUGCGUUGGAAACUGCAUGACUAGAGUACUGGAGAGGUAAGCGGAACUACAAGUGUAGAGGUGAAAUUCGUAGAUAUUUGUAGGAAUGCCGAUGGGGAAGCCAGCUUACUGGACAGAUACUGACGCUAAAGCGCGAAAGCGUGGGUAGCAAACAGGAUUAGAUACCCUGGUAGUCCACGCCGUAAACGAUGAUUACUAGGUGUUGGGGGUCGAACCUCAGCGCCCAAGCUAACGCGAUAAGUAAUCCGCCUGGGGAGUACGUACGCAAGUAUGAAACUCAAAGGAAUUGACGGGGACCCGCACAAGCGGUGGAGCAUGUGGUUUAAUUCGACGCAACGCGAGGAACCUUACCAGCGUUUGACAUC